rnacentral:rRNA from 1 species
CCUACGGGAGGCAGCAGUGGGGAAUAUUGCGCAAUGGGCGAAAGCCUGACGCAGCGACGCCGCGUGAGGGAUGAAGGUCUUCGGAUCGUAAACCUCUGUCAGCAGGGAAGAACGGUCACUGUGCUAAUCAGCAGUGAAUUGACGGUACCUGCAAAGGAAGCACCGGCUAACUCCGUGCCAGCAGCCGCGGUAAUACGGAGGGUGCGAGCGUUAAUCGGAAUUACUGGGCGUAAAGCGCUCGUAGGCGGUAUGUCAAGUCAAGGGUGAAAUCCCCGCGCUCAACGUGGGAACUGCCUUUGAAACUGGCAAACUGGGAGGUGUGAGAGGAUAGUGGAAUUCCAGGUGGAGGAGUGAAAUCCGUAGAUAUCUGGAGGAACAUCAGUGGCGAAGGCGACUAUCUGGCACAUAACUGACGCUGAGGAGCGAAAGCGUGGGUAGCAAACAGGAUUAGAUACCCCGAGUAGUC